UUUUGUUUUGCAGGUAUCCUAAAAAUAUAGUCGUUGUUUCUUCAGUUCUUCUUCUUCUCUGUCCUAUUGAUGUUGAUUUAUCUUGCUCCUGCUGGUGUAGGAGCUAAGAUUAUUACAUUGAGAUGAAACAAGAUGAGAUGAUUAUUUCUUUGAAGCUUCAUAAUAUAAAUAGUAAACCCACACCAGGGUAUCAGCUUGCAAGAUACUAUCACCUUCGCAGUAUGGACAUGGAUUUUUUUUUGAUUUUUUUUUGUUAUGUCUCCUUUUUGAUGUCUUCUAACUUUGAGUUUUCAUUUAAACGCCAUAUUAGAGCAAAUAAAUGAUGGAAUGGUUUUUAUUUUCUCGGAUUUCCAGAGGUUUGUAAUAUGUUUAAUGAAAGUUUAAUUUUUUUGGCAUGUUUAUCUGGAUGAAACAACCUAAUACAAAGAGGUGCAAAACAAAGAAGUGCCGAAUUUGGUGCAUCCACUUGAGGGAAUAGUUUUUGGUUAGGUAAUUUUAUUUUGUUUAGUUUAUUUCUGAUUAGAAACUGAAACUGUUAUAAGAAGGACUUGCUGUAAGUAUAUGCCUAUUUUAUUUAUAGUGAAUUCCUUCGA